GGGUAUUGCUGCGGCUGGCGCGGCGUCGCUCUAGUCUUAUCUGCAGAUAUGUACAGACUACAUCCUAAGAUUGACUUCUGCCUCAACAGAAAUACAUGAGCCAGUGCCUUAUUGGAAAUGAUUUGCGUGUUUUAAGAACUGGUGUAUAUAGGUACAUCUUGAAUGUUCUGCUUUCCUUGCCUUAUGCCUGUACUUCACCUCAGCCUUCAAUUCCAUUGUGUUUCCUUGCUACUUGGUAUCUUGAAAUCUGGUACGAAACUAUUGCAUGAUCCCUGCACCUUUGCUUCUGCAUAUAUCAUAGCUCUCUUAUAGUGAGUGUGCACAAUCUAUUUCAUUUGAUGUAAUCAAAG
rnacentral:lncRNA from 1 species